UACGAAGGGGGCUAGCGUUGCUCGGAAUGACUGGGCGUAAAGGGUGAGUAGGCGGAUGAAUAAGUUAGAUGUGAAAAACCUGGGCUUAACCUGGGUCGUGCAUAUAAUACUGUUGAUCUAGAGUUUGUAAGAGGGGUGUAGAAUUCCAAGUGUAGCAGUGAAAUGCGUAGAGAUUUGGAGGAAUACCGAUGGCGAAGGCAGCACCCUGGUAUAGAACUGACGCUGAGGCACGAAAGCGUGGGUAGCAAACAGG
rnacentral:rRNA from 1 species